UACAGAGGGUGCGAGCGUUAAUCGGAAUUACUGGGCGUAAAGCGUGCGUAGACGGUUACGUAAGUCGAAUGUGAAAGCCCCCGGCUCAACUGGGGAGGGUCAUUCGAUACUGUUCGACUCGAAGGCAGGAGAGGGAAGUGGAAUUCCGGGUGUAGUGGUGAAAUGCGUAGAUAUCCGGAGGAACACCAGUGGCGAAGGCGACUUUCUGGCCUGUUCUUGACGCUGAGGCGCGAAAGCUAGGGGAGCAAACGGG
rnacentral:rRNA from 1 species